rnacentral:rRNA from 1 species
GACGAACGCUGGCGGCGUGCUUAACACAUGCAAGUCGAACGGAAAGGCCCUGCUCUUGUGGGGUGCUCGAGUGGCGAACGGGUGAGUAACACGUGAGUAACCUGCCCUUGUCUUUGGGAUAACUUCAGGAAACUGGGGCUAAUACCGGAUAGGAGCUCCUGCUGCAUGGUGGGGGUUGGAAAGUUUCGGCGGUUGUGGAUGUACUCGGGGCUUAGGAGCUAGUUGGUGUGGUAGUGGCUUACCAAGGCUUUGACGGGUACCCGACGUGAGAGGGUGACCGGCGACACGAGAGGGGAGCCGGCCACCAUAGGACUGAGAUACGCCCCAGAAGCCUACGGGAGGCAGCAGUCGGGAGUCUUGCAGAGUGAGGGGGAGCCUGUUACAACAGCGCCGCGUGCGGGAUGCCGGCUUUCGGGUUGUAAACCGCUUUCGACUGAAACAAAGAGUGAGUGACGGUAAUGGGUAAAGAAGCCCCGGCUAACUACGUG